rnacentral:tRNA from 1 species
GCCUGGGUGGCUCAGUCGGUUGAGCGUCUGACUUCAGUUCAGGUCAUGAUCUCACAGCUCUGUGAGUUCGAGCCCCGCAUCGGGCU